UACGGGGGGAGCAAGCGUUGUUCGGAUUUACUGGGCGUAAAGGGCGCGUAGGCGGUCGUGACAAGUCACUUGUGAAAUCUCCGGGCUUAACUCGGAACGGUCAAGUGAUACUGUCGGACUAGAGUACAGAAGGGGCAACUGGAAUUCUCGGUGUAGCGGUGAAAUGCGUAGAUAUUGGGAAGAACACCUGAGGCGAAGGCGGGUUGCUGGGCCGACACUGACGCUGAGGCGCGAAAGCCAGGGGAGCAAACGGG
rnacentral:rRNA from 1 species